GACGAACGCUGGCGGCGUGCCUAAUACAUGCAAGUAGAACGCUGAAGGAGGAGCUUGCUUCUCCGGAUGAGUUGCGAACGGGUGAGUAACGCGUAGGUAACCUGCCUGGUAGCGGGGGAUAACUAUUGGAAACGAUAGCUAAUACCGCAUAAGAGUAGAUGUUGCAUGACAUUUGCUUAAAAGGUGCAAUUGCAUCACUACCAGAUGGACCUGCGUUGUAUUAGCUAGUUGGUGGGGUAACGGCUUACCAAGGCGACGAUACAUAGCCGACCUGAGAGGGUGAUCGGCCACACUGGGACUGAGACACGGCCCAGACUCCUACGGGAGGCAGCAGUAGGGAAUCUUCGGCAAUGGACGGAAGUCUGACCGAGCAACGCCGCGUGAGUGAAGAAGGUUUUCGGAUCGUAAAGCUCUGUUGUAAAAGAAGAACGAGUGUGAGAGUGGAAAGUUCACACUGUGACGGUAUCUUACCAGAAAGGGACGGCUAACUACGUG
rnacentral:rRNA from 1 species